rnacentral:rRNA from 1 species
UACAGGGGGUGCAAACGUUGCUCGGAAUUAUUGGGCGUAAAGCGCGCGUAGGCGGCUACUUAAGUCGGAUGUGAAAGCCCCUGGCUCAACCGGGGAAGUGCACCCGAAACUGAGUAGCUAGAGUACGAAAGAGGGUCGCGGAAUUCCCGGUGUAGAGGUGAAAUUCGUAGAUAUCGGGAGGAACACCCGUGGCGAAGGCGGUUCUCUGGGACGGUACUGACGCUGAGACGCGAAAGCGUGGGGAGCGAACAGG